rnacentral:antisense_RNA from 1 species
AUCCCACCGAGGCCACCAUAGACCAGCCAGCCCUCAGCGUACAUGCCAGCUAAUUACAGAUGCAGGAGCAAACCCCUGGCCCAUACAUCAAUUUUAAUGUCAUUGAAUACAGAGAACAAAUCUCAUUCAUUUUGGUAUCGGCUCAAGUCAACAAACAUUUAAAAAUCAUUUACUGCAUCUGAUUUUGGGUAUGUUGAAUUGGUGACGUCUGAGUUGCUUCUGGUCUAUCCUGAUAGAAACAUACAGUAAACAGAGAAAAAAAAGGGUCUCAGGUGAGAUGAUGUAUGGGAAUGCUCAGCAUACAGAAUGAAUGGAUAAGAGGCCUGAAAACAUAAUCCUGUAAACAACCAUAUUGAAAGAGAAGACAGAAGACAUCAAACAGGAUUUUGGAAGCAUUGCCUUCUACAGAAUCCACAGUAGUCCGAAGUUCUUCUACGGUUUUUGUCAAACUUUGAUUUUCCAUCUCUAGCUUCAAUAAUCUACUUGAUGUCAACUCAUUCACCUCAUGGCCCAGGGAUUUCUGGGGUGCUAUAAUAUUGAAAAAUACACCAUUGUAUUUACUCUUUACUGUUUUUACUAUGUUUACUCUUUACUAUUUAAAAAGUUGAGUGUAUAUGCAUUGCAUCAUCUGAUCCUUAACUUUAUUAAAAAUUCAAUGAGGUUAUAUAAGAUAAACAAGAUAAAAGAAGUAAAUCUUUUUUUUCCUUUUCUUUUUUUCUUUUUUUUAAAGAGACGGGGUCUCUCUCUGUCACCCAGGCUGGAGUGCAGUGAUGUGCUCCUAGCUCACUGCAGCCUCAAACGCCUGGUCUGAAGGGAUCCUC